GAGUCAGAAUAACUCAUCGAAUCGCAUGGCCUUGUGCCGGCGAUGGUUCAUUCAAAUUUCUGCCCUAUCAACUUUCGAUGGGAGGAUAGUGGCCUACCAUGGUUUCAACGGGUAACGGGGAAUUAGGGUUCUAUUCCCGAGAGGGAGCCUGAGAAACGGCUACCCCAUCCCAGGAAGGCGGCAGGCGCGCAAAUUACCCCCUCCCGACACGGGGAGGUAGUGACAAUAAAUACUGAUACAGGGCUCUUUUGGGUCUUGUAAUUGGAAUGAGUACAAUUUAAAUCCCUUAACGAGGAACAAUUGGAGGGCAAGUCUGGUGCCCCCACCCGCGGUAAUUCCCCCUCCAAUAUCGUAUAUAAAAGUUGUUGCAGUUAAAAAGCUCGUAGUUGAACCUUGGGCCUGGGUGGGCGGUCCGCCUCACCGCGUGCACUGUGCCGGCCGGGUCUUUCCUUCUAGGGAACCUCAUGCCUUUCAUUAGGUGUGCGGGGGAACCAGGACUUUUACAAG
rnacentral:rRNA from 1 species